GACGAACGCUGGCGGCGUGCUUAACACAUGCAAGUCGAACGAAGUGGCGAACGGGAGAGUAACGCGUAAUCAACCUGUCCUUCAGAGGGGGACAACAGUUGGAAACGACUGCUAAUCCCGCAUUCUGAAGCGGGGGUAUGCGUCGGAUUAGCUAGUUGGAGGGGUAACGGCCGACCAAGGCGAUGAUCGGUAGGCUGUCUGAGAGGAGGAACGGGCAAAUUGGGACGGAGACACGGGCCAGACGUCUACGGGAGGCAGCAGUGGGGAAGCUUCCGCAAUGGACGAAAGUCUGACGGAGCAACGCCGCGUGAAGGAUUACGGCUUUCGGGUUGUAAAGCUCUGGUAAUCGGGGCGCGGUACCGGAAUAGAAAGCCACGGCUAACUACGUGCCAGCAGCCGCGGUAAUUC
rnacentral:rRNA from 1 species